rfam:Anas platyrhynchos breed Pekin duck contig92996, whole genome shotgun sequence.
CUACUUACCUGGCAGGGGAGACACCAUGAUCAGGCAGGUGGUUUUCCCAGGGCAAGGCUCAUCCCCAGCACUCCGGGUGUGCUGACCCCUGCAAUUUCCCCAAAUGCAGGAAACUCGACUGUAUAAUUUGUGGUAGUAGGGGUCUGUAUUCACGUAUUUUUCCUGC